rnacentral:rRNA from 1 species
UACGAGGGGGGCGAGCGUUGUUCGGAAUUAUUGGGCGUAAAGGGCGCGUAGGCGGUGCGGUAAGUCACCUGUGAAAUCUCCUGGCUCAACUGGGAGCUUGCAGGCGAAACUGCCGUGCUGGAGUGUGGGAGAGGUGCGUGGAAUUCCUGGUGUAGCGGUGAAAUGCGUAGAUAUCAGGAGGAACACCUGUGGCGAAGGCGGCUGCCUGGGCCUGGCCUGACGCUGAGGAGCGAAAGCUAGGGGAGCAAACGGG